rnacentral:rRNA from 1 species
GAUGAACGCUGGCGGCGUGCCUAAUACAUGCAAGUCGAGCGAAGCGGGGACGGGUGAGUAACACGUGGAUAACCUCCUAUAAGACUGGGAUAACUUCGGGAAACCGGAGCGAAACCGGAUACUUAGAGAUGGAUCCGCGCUGCAUUAGCUAGUUGGUAAGGUAACGGCUUACAAAGGCAACGAUGCAUAGCCGACCUGAGAGGGUGAUCGGCCACACUGGAACUGAGCCACGGUCCAGACUCCUCCGGGAGGCAGCAGUCGGGCAUCUUCCGCAAUGGGCGAAAGCCUGACGGAGCAACGCCGCGUGAGUGAUGAAUGUCUUCGGAUCGUAAAGCUCUUUUUUUAGUGAAGCGGUACCUACUCAGCAAGCCACGACUAACUACGUGCCAGCAGCCGCGGUAAUUC